rnacentral:rRNA from 1 species
UACGGGGGGAGCAAGCGUUGUUCGGAAUCACUGGGCGUAAAGGGCGUGUAGGCGGUCAAGUAAGUGGAAUGUGAAAGCCCCCGGCUUACCCGGGGAUCUGCAUCCCAAACUGCUUGGCUUGAGUACGGGAGAGGAUAGGGGAAUUCCUGGUGUAGCGGUGAAAUGCGUAGAUAUCAGGAGGAACACCGGUGGCGAAGGCGGGUAUCUGGCCCGAUACUGACGCUGAGGCGCGAAAGCUAGGGGAGCAAACGGG